rnacentral:rRNA from 1 species
UACGUAGGGUGCGAGCGUUAAUCGGAAUUACUGGGCGUAAAGCGUGCGCAGGCGGUCUCGCAAGUCCGAUGUGAAAUCCCCGGGCUCAACCUGGGAACUGCGUUGGAAACUACAAGGCUGGAGUACGGCAGAGGGGGGUGGAAUUCCACGUGUAGCAGUGAAAUGCGUAGAUAUGUGGAGGAACACCGAUGGCGAAGGCAGCCCCCUGGGCUAGUACUGACGCUCAUGCACGAAAGCGUGGGGAGCAAACAGG